rnacentral:ribozyme from 1 species
UUCUUCAUCAACCACUUUUUUUUUUUCUUUCUUUUUUUUUUCUUUUCUUUUUU